AGAGUUUGAUCCUGGCUCAGGACGAACGCUGGCGGCGUGCCUAAUACAUGCAAGUUGAGCGCUGAAGGUUGGUACUUGUACCGACUGGAUGAGCAGCGAACGGGUGAGUAACGCGUGGGGAAUCUGCCUUUGAGCGGGGGACAACAUUUGGAAACGAAUGCUAAUACCGCAUAACAACUUUAAACACAAGUUUUAAGUUUGAAAGAUGCAAUUGCAUCACUCAAAGAUGAUCCCGCGUUGUAUUAGCUAGUUGGUGAGGUAAAGGCUCACCAAGGCGAUGAUACAUAGCCGACCUGAGAGGGUGAUCGGCCACAUUGGGACUGAGACACGGCCCAAACUCCUACGGGAGGCAGCAGUAGGGAAUCUUCGGCAAUGGACGAAAGUCUGACCGAGCAACGCCGCGUGAGUGAAGAAGGUUUUCGGAUCGUAAAGCUCUGUUGUAAGAGAAGAACGAGUGUGAGAGUGGAAAGUUCACACUGUGACGGUAUCUUACCAGAAAGGGACGGCUAACUACGUGCCAGCAGCCGCGGUAAUACGUAGGUCCCGAGCGUUGUCCGGAUUUAUUGGGCGUAAAGCGAGCGCAGGUGGUUUAUUAAGUCUGGUGUAAAAGGCAGUGGCUCAACCAUUGUAUGCAUUGGAAACUGGUAGACUUGAGUGCAGGAGAGGAGAGUGGAAUUCCAUGUGUAGCGGUGAAAUGCGUAGAUAUAUGGAGGAACACCGGUGGCGAAAGCGGCUCUCUGGCUUGUAACUGACGCUGAGGCUCGAAAGCGUGGGGAGCAAACAGGAUUAGAUACCCUGGUAGUCCACGCCGUAAACG
rnacentral:rRNA from 1 species